GGGUGGAUUAGUGGCGAACGGGUGAGUAACACGUGGGUGAUCUGCCCCGCACUUCGGGAUAAGCCUGGGAAACUGGGUCUAAUACCGGAUACGACCCCCUGGUAGGUCAGGGGGUGGAAAGAUUUUAUCGGUGUGGGAUGAGCCUGCGGCCUAUCAGCUUGUUGGUGGGGUAAUGGCCUACCAAGGCGUCGACGGGUAGCCGGCCUGAGAGGGUGAUCGGCCACAUUGGGACUGAGACACGGCCCAG
rnacentral:rRNA from 1 species